rnacentral:tRNA from 1 species
GGGUGCGUAGCUCAACGGUAGAGCGUGAGGUUGUGGUCCUCAAGGUUACGGGUUCAAAUCCCGUCGUACCCC